rnacentral:rRNA from 1 species
GGGUUGUGAGGUUAAGCGACUAAGCGUACACGGUGGAUGCCCUGGCAGUCAGAGGCGAUGAAGGGCGUGCUAAUCUGCGAUAAGCGCCGGUAAGGUGAUAUGAACCGUUAUAACCGGCGAUACCCGAAUGGGGAAACCCAGUGUGAUUCGUCACACUAUCAUUAACUGAAUCCAUAGGUUAAUGAGGCGAACCGGGGGAACUGAAACAUCUAAGUACCCCGAGGAAAAGAAAUCAACCGAGAUUCCCCCAGUAGCGGCGAGCGAACGGGGAGGAGCCCAGAGCCUGAAUCAGCAUGUGUGUUAGUGGAAGCGUCUGGAAAGGCGCGCGAUACAGGGUGACAGCCCCGUACACAAAAGCGCAUGUGCUGUGAGCUCGAUGAGUAGGGCGGGACACGUGGUAUCCUGUCUGAAUAUGGGGGGACCAUCCUCCAAGGCUAAAUACUCCUGACUGACCGAUAGUGAACCAGUACCGUGAGGGAAAGGCGAAAAGAACCCCGGCGAGGGGAGUGAAAAAGAACCUGAAACCGUGUACGUACAAGCAGUGGGAGCCCCACCACUAAGCCAGUGGUGAACUCCACAUACGCAUCCUUUGCUGAAGGCAAUGGUUAACGGAGCGAAAGCGACGUUCAACCGCAAAACAAGCAGAGGGGGCUUAGUGGUGGGGUGACUGCGUACCUUUUGUAUAAUGGGUCAGCGACUUAUAUUCUGUAGCAAGGUUAACCGUAUAGGGGAGCCGGAGGGAAACCGAGUCUUAAUUGGGCGUUAAGUUGCAGGGUAUAGACCCGAAACCCGGUGAUCUAGCCAUGGGCAGGUUGAAGGUUGGGUAACACUAACUGGAGGACCGAACCGACUAAUGUUGAAAAAUUAGCGGAUGACCUGUGGCUGGGGGUGAAAGGCCAAUCAAACCGGGAGAUAGCUGGUUCUCCCCGAAAGCUAUUUAGGUAGCGCCUCGUGAAUUCAUCUCCGGGGGUAGAGCACUGUUUCGGCUAGGGGGCCAUCCCGGCUUACCAACCCGAUGCAAACUGCGAAUACCGGAGAAUGUUAUCACGGGAGACACACGGCGGGUGCUAACGUCCGUCGUGAAGAGGGAAACAACCCAGACCGCCAGCUAAGGUCCCAAAGUCAUGGUUAAGUGGGAAACGAUGUGGGAAGGCCCAGACAGCCAGGAUGUUGGCUUAGAAGCAGCCAUCAUUUAAAGAAAGCGUAAUAGCUCACUGGUCGAGUCGGCCUGCGCGGAAGAUGUAACGGGGCUAAAUCAUGCACCGAAGCUGCGGCAGCGACACUCAGGUGUUGUUGGGUAGGGGAGCGUUCUGUAAGCCUGUGAAGGUGUGUCGUGAGGCAUGCUGGAGGUAUCAGAAGUGCGAAUGCUGACAUAAGUAACGAUAAAGCGGGUGAAAAGCCCGCUCGCCGGAAGACCAAGGGUUCCUGUCCAACGUUAAUCGGGGCAGGGUGAGUCGACCCCUAAGGCGAGGCCGAAAGGCGUAGUCGAUGGGAAACGGGUUAAUAUUCCCGUACUUGGUGUUACUGCGAAGGGGGGACGGAGAAGGCUAUGUUGGCCGGGCGACGGUUGUCCCGGUUUAAGCGUGUAGGUGUGUGUUCCAGGUAAAUCCGGUUCACUUUAACACUGAGGCGUGAUGA